rnacentral:tRNA from 1 species
GUUAGCUCAGUGGUUUGAGCUUAGGUCUUGUGACCGAAAGGUUCCGGGAUCGAAUCUCGCGAGAAACA